rnacentral:rRNA from 1 species
AGAGUUUGAUCAUGGCUCAGAGUGAACGCUGGCGGUAGGCCUAACACAUGCAAGUCGAACGGCAGCACAGGAGAGCUUGCUCUCUGGGUGGCGAGUGGCGGACGGGUGAGGAAUACAUCGGAAUCUACUCUGUCGUGGGGGAUAACGUAGGGAAACUUACGCUAAUACCGCAUACGACCUACGGGUGAAAGCAGGGGAUCUUCGGACCUUGCGCGAUUGAAUGAGCCGAUGUCGGAUUAGCUAGUUGGCGGGGUAAAGGCCCACCAAGGCGACGAUCCGUAGCUGGUCUGAGAGGAUGAUCAGCCACACUGGAACUGAGACACGGUCCAGACUCCUACGGGAGGCAGCAGUGGGGAAUAUUGGACAAUGGGCGCAAGCCUGAUCCAGUCAUACCGCGUGGGUGAAGAAGGCCUUCGGGUUGUAAAGCCCUUUUGUUGGGAAAGAAAUCCAGCUGGUUAAUACCCGGUUGGGAUGACGGUACCCAAAGAAUAAGCACCGGCUAACUUCGUGCCAGCAGCCGCGGUAAUACGAAGGGUGCAAGCGUUACUCGGAAUUACUGGGCGUAAAGCGUGCGUAGGUGGUCGUUUAAGUCCGUUGUGAAAGCCCUGGGCUCAACCUGGGAACUGCAGUGGAUACUGGGCGACUAGAGUGUGGUAGAGGGUAGCGGAAUUCCUGGUGUAGCAGUGAAAUGCGUAGAGAUCAGGAGGAACAUCCAUGGCGAAGGCAGCUACCUGGACCAACACUGACACUGAGGCACGA